GACGAACGCUGGCGGCGUGCUUAACACAUGCAAGUCGAACGGAAAGGCCCUUCGGGGUACUCGAGUGGCGAACGGGUGAGUAACACGUGGGUGAUCUGCCCUGCACUUUGGGAUAAGCCUGGGAAAAUGGGUCUAAUACCGAAUAGGACCGCAUGCUUCAUGGUGUGUGGUGGAAAGCUUUUGCGGUGUGGGAUGGGCCCGCGGCCUAUCAGCUUGUUGGUGGGGUAAUGGCCUACCAAGGCGACGACGGGUAGCCAGCCUGAGAGGGUGACCGGCCACACUGGGACUGAGAUACGGCCCAGACUCCUACGGGAGGCAGCAGUGGGGAAUAUUGCACAAUGGGCGCAAGCCUGAUGCAGCGACGCCGCGUGAGGGAUGACGGCCUUCGGGUUGUAAACCUCUUUCAGCAGGGACGAAGCGCAAGUGACGGUACCUGCAGAAGAAGGACCGGCCAACUACGUGCCAGCAGCCGCCGUAA
rnacentral:rRNA from 1 species